UUCAUUGUUACCACCGCGCCCAGAACUUAGAAGAAUUUCGAGGGUUCAUCGACAAAUACAUCAUAUUGCCCAUAAUUAUUACUAUGAACUCCAGCUGUAUUUUACCUAAAUUACGUACGCAACACGUUAGGAAUACGCGGAAAUGCUUGGAAUAUGAAUGCUGAAAUCAUACAACCGAACCGGGAUGGAAUACCUGUCCGAAGCCAAGCCUUUUACAGCGAAAAAAAUGCAGUCC